rnacentral:rRNA from 2 species
AUACCUAUAACGUUGCCUCGGCGGGAACAGACGGCCCCGUAACACGGGCCGCCCCCGCCAGAGGACCCCCUAACUCUGUUUCUAUAAUGUUUCUUCUGAGUAAACAAGCAAAUAAAUUAAAACUUUCAACAACGGAUCUCUUGGCUCUGGCAUCGAUGAAGAACGCAGCGAAAUGCGAUAAGUAAUGUGAAUUGCAGAAUUCAGUGAAUCAUCGAAUCUUUGAACGCACAUUGCGCCCGCCAGUAUUCUGGCGGGCAUGCCUGUUCGAGCGUCAUUACAACCCUCAGGCCCCCGGGCCUGGCGUUGGGGAUCGGCGGAAGCCCCCUGCGGGCACAACGCCGUCCCCCAAAUACAGUGGCGGUCCCGCCGCAGCUUCCAUUGCGUAGUAGCUAACACCUCGCAACUGGAGAGCGGCGCGGCCACGCCGUAAAACACCCAACUUCUGAAUGUUGACCUCGAAUCAGGUAGGAAUACCCGCUGAACUUAAGCAUAUCAAUAA